rnacentral:rRNA from 1 species
UACGUAGGGGGCAAGCGUUGUCCGGAUUUAUUGGGCGUAAAGAGCGUGUAGGCGCCAGACAGGUCCGUUGUGAAAACUGGAGGCUCAACCUCCAGACGCGAUGGAAACCGUCUGGCUAGAGUCCGGAAGAGGAGAGUGGAAUUCCUGGUGUAGCGGUGAAAUGCGCAGAUAUCAGGAAGAACACCCGUGGCGAAAGCGGCUCUCUGGGACGGUACUGACGCUGAGACGCGAAAGCGUGGGGAGCGAACAGG